rnacentral:rRNA from 1 species
CCUACGGGAGGCAGCAGUGGGGAAUAUUGCACAAUGGGGGAAACCCUGAUGCAGCGACGCCGCGUGAGUGAAGAAGUAUUUCGGUAUGUAAAGCUCUAUCAGCAGGGAAGAAAAUGACGGUACCUGACUACGAAGCCCCGGCUAACUACGUGCCAGCAGCCGCGGUAAUACGUAGGGGGCAAGCGUUAUCCGGAUUUACUGGGUGUAAAGGGAGCGCAGGCGGGCUGUUAAGCCGGCGGUAAAAAUUCAGGGCUCGACCCUGUCGAGCCGUCGGAACUGGCAGUCUUGAGUGGGCGAUAAGGAUGCGGAAUGCGUGGUGUAGCGUUGAAAUGCAUAGAUAUCACGCAGAACGCCGAUUGCGAAGGCAGCAUACCGGCGCCCAACUGACGCUGAGGCACGAAAGCGUGGGGAUCGAACAGGAUGAGAUACCCCUGUAGUC